AAAUCCCGUCCGGGAAAGAUGAAAGCCACAUCACCGGUAGCGAGUCUUGGGUGGAUGGCCAGCAAUGGCAUCUACUAAGCGUAGACAGCAAGGCAGUAGGGCAAGAUUAUAUGUAGCUCCGUAAUGUCGAGGGUUUGAGAGGGUGACACGGUUGUGCACGUGGAAGCCAGUAAGUUGGACGUUCGUUAAAGGCGAGAAUUUCCACCUCUCACGGGGUUU
rnacentral:ncRNA from 1 species